CUGGAUUCUUUACCAAUGGAUCAGGCUGUGUUAAAGCAGAUCAGUGUAGUUGUUAUGAAAAUGGACUCACCUAUAAGAUUGGCGAGUCUAUCAUCACAGAAGACUGUCAAGUGCGCUUAACAUGUCUCAGUUCUGGUAUAGUAAAACACGAAAGCAUGAGAUGUAACAGUGAUGAAAUCUGCCAGGUUAAGAAUGGUGUUCAUGGGUGUUACCCAAGGCAGUGUCAGUUAGAUACUGGAGGCUCAUUUACCCUUUUCAAUGGAACAACUUGGACUAUUGCAUCUCUGGGAGCCUUUGACUUUGUGCAAGUAUGUGACAGCACUCUUGCAGUGAACUGGUUCCGUGUAGUGGUGGAGCUACAAACCACAAGUUCUGGAGUUUAUAAAGCUAUGGCUGUUUAUGUCUUCUUUGAAGAUGGGCUUGUCACCGUUAACAGCCAACAGGAGAUUUGGCUCAAUGGUAGAAAGAUGUCUAUGGCUACUCUAGGAACAAAUCAGAAAUUUAUUAAGAUCAUUGAUCAUG